rnacentral:rRNA from 1 species
AUUGAACGCUGGCGGCAUGCCUUACACAUGCAAGUCGAACGGCAGCACGGGAGCAAUCCUGGUGGCGAGUGGCGAACGGGUGAGUAAUAUAUCGGAACGUGCCCAGUAGUGGGGGAUAACUGCUCGAAAGAGCAGCUAAUACCGCAUACGACCUGAGGGUGAAAGGGGGGGGAUCGGCAAGACCUCUCGCUAUUGGAGCGGCCGAUAUCAGAUUAGCUAGUUGGUGGGGUAAAGGCCUACUAAGGCAACGAUCUGUAGUUGGUCUGAGAGGACGACCAGCCACACUGGGACUGAGACACGGCCCAGACUCCUACGGGAGGCAGCAGUGGGGAAUUUUGGACAAUGGGCGCAAGCCUGAUCCAGCAAUGCCGCGUGCAGGAAG